UACGUAGGGUCCGAGCGUUGUCCGGAAUUAUUGGGCGUAAAGGGCUCGUAGGCGGUUUGUCGCGUCGGGAGUGAAAACACGGGGCUUAACCCCGUGCCUGCUUCCGAUACGGGCAGACUAGAGGUAUGCAGGGGAGAACGGAAUUCCUGGUGUAGCGGCGAAAUGCGCAGAUAUCAGGAGGAACGCCGGUGGCGAAGGCGGAUCUCUGGGCCUUACCUGACGCUCAGGUGCGAAAGCUAGGGGAGCGAACAGG
rnacentral:rRNA from 1 species